GGAUUUUCGUGGUCCAUGGAGCAGGUUUUGUGGGAAAGAGGUUUGUGAGGCUUCCAGAUCACAGGAGGAGAGAGGCAGCAUUUUUAGCUGCGGCCGACAUCUUUGCUGACUUGUCUGGAAGUGUCCCUGACGAGGCCCCUCUUUUGUCCCUGGUCUCCUGGCUUUGGAAGAGAACCAGGAAACCGCAGACUCGGGUGGCUCCCUUCCAGGUAGGCAUCAGAGCCACCUCCGGAGUUCCUGUGGGGACGUUCAGGCCCUGGAGGCCACGUGUCAGGAUCUCCGGGCGCUUACGCCCUGAGGAUGGUGUUAGGGUGACAUUGAUUAAACAGACACACACACGUAAACGAAGCACCUUUGCUGUCAGAGUUCAUCCUGAUUUGCAGAAUCAACGGCCUUGAAACGUUCUUCCUCCUUCCCCACCAUCGGGGCAGUGGCGCCUGCCAGGAUCCCGGAGGAGCGUUGGCCUUGUCCCCAAACAGCCCCCGACCGGCCAUGGUCACGGAUGCGCCCCCAACCCUCACCCUACCCAGGGGCCACGGCGAAAACCAGAAAACAAACUCAGCAGGGUCCCCUUGCGCUAAAGAACCCGAGUCAGGAGGAGAGCGCGAUUUACGGGAGGGGCACUUCAUCCUCCUGCUUCAUGAUCCCUCCCGGCCAGGACACCCUUCCGUGGCUUGUCCAUCCUCGCCUCAUCUGCAGACGCCGUCUGAGGACUUGGUCAGUGGGAAGACGCUUGUGCCUCCUCCUCCUGCCAGGGCCCCCAGGACUUCGGUCCACAGGGGAGGAGACAGGCCCCUCUGGCCCCAGGUGGCAGGUCACUCAGUGCUCACAGGGCCCCCGUCCCCACCUUCAGCCUCUUGGCACCUGCACCAGUCGGCUGAGACUGUGUGAGAAAGCAGCACACAGGGGGCAGGUUAGACGACACAAAUCUAUUCUCUCCCAGCCCUGGAGGCUGGACGUCUGAGCUGCGGGUGCAGGCAGAGCUGGUUCCCCGUGAGGCCUCCAUUCUUGGUGUGUAGAUGCCGUCUCCUCCCUGUGUCCUUACACGGUCGUCCCUCUGUGCGUGUCUCUCUCCUGAUCUCUUUUUCUUAUGCCGACCCCAGUCCUGUUGGAUUGGGGCCCCUAUGUGUGACCUUAUUUAACCCAAUGCCCUCUGUAAAAGCCGCGUCUCCAAACACAGUCACAUGCUGAGGUCCUGUGGCCAGGGCUUCAACAUAGGGAUUUCAGGGACAGGAGACCCGACUCAGCCCACAGCGCCCGACACUCACUCCCCAAAGGGCCCCACGCUGGGCAGACAGACGCCUGCUCACACAUAACACACCCCGAGUUCCAGCAAACCCAGACACCCAGAAACGGCCCAGGAAUGAGGAGGGGGCCAGCCAGCCUUUCAGAGGCCUCUUUCCCUUCCAGGCCACCCGCUCUCCUGCCCUGCCCGCUCGAGGGGGCCUCUGGGGUACGGGACAGGGAGCACAGGGCCUCUGCUCCGGGCUGGACUGGCAGACAUUGCGGCCUGCAGGCAACACGGCGAGUGCGUGGACGCCACCAGGACCAACAGCCGCUCCCCGGAGGCGGGAGGCUAACUUUAGGCUAACCCAAGAUGCUGGGCUCUGAGGAGACCCCAGAGAGGCGGCCGUCCGGGGGGUUCUGCCCUGAGACAGGGAGCUUCACCACCUCCCAGGCUCGGUCCUCUGGGACUAGCCGCCUCCACUGCUUGCCCCUCCAACAACAACGACAGCAAUAGUAGUAACUGCAGAGGGCUCGCUGGUACCCAAGCCUGUUCACUGGGUGUCCCAUCCCUCUUGGUGUGUGGCAGGCUGGGCGGGCAGUGCUGGCAGCAGUUCCUGGCCAACCUGAAGCAGCGGUCCACACUCUGCAAGGGGGGAGGCUCCCAGAUGGCUCGCUGCCUCCUGGGCUCGCUGACCGGCCACUUCCACGCCCCAGGCUGAGCAAAGCCAUCGGGUGGCAGGAUGGGCCAGCCCUUGAGAAGGUGAGGGUUUGACUCAGAUGGGACUCUGGGUGCAGUGUUUCAGGCUCAGGGGUCUCCAACACCUUCUCAGAUUAACUCAGCGAAGCUGGGUGGCCCUCCCGGGGUGGCACAGCCCUUACCUUUCUGCAGGUCCUUAGAGGGAGGUGGGGACACCUGCCUUAGGGCCAUCGUCCCCAGAAGAAGGCCGGGGCUGGCAGAAAGCCUGUGCAGAGAGGGAGCCUGCAGCUCGCUCAGCAGUCACUGCAGGGCUCCCUGUCUUUCGUCACCAGGACUCUGACUGCAGAGCUGCACACAGCAGUUUAAAGCAUUUCCAGGGAAUUCUGGCCUCAACGAGGAUGUUUUUAAAAGGUCGCUCACCUUCUGCAUGACAGCCCCCCCCUGGACCAGCCACACGCCUCCAUCUGCCAGCUCUGACGUGCUGCCCGGCGGCCUGUCUUCACCAUGGAGAUGAACCCUGGGUGCCAUCCACACUCCACCUGCCACCGGCUCCUGCCGGCUGAGGGGCUGACUGCUGUGGCGUUGGCUGGAAAGGCCCUGAGGCUGUGGACGUGGGGCCCUGGGUCAUGCAGAGCACUGGGGGCGGGAGCAGGGCUGUGGGCUGAGAGCACGAUUUCCUUUCCAGGUUACAAAGUCUCAGGCUGCCUCCAGACUCAAUCCCAAAGUACAGGUGAUAAACAGCACUUUUAUGACUCCGGUUUACAUAAAAAGUGAAUAUUUCUGUGACGGGACUGAUGGGCAAGUGACUAAGAGAGAAGACAGCUGCAGUGGCCAAAACCAUCGCUGGGCUCCUCCCCACAUCGUCCACGGAGCUCCCACAGGUGACAGGAAUGGACAGUGGGGAAUGUGCAAAAGGCAUGAACAGGUGCGUUUCAGAACCGGGAACCCAGCGGGCUCACAGGCCGUGAGGAGACGUCCUCGCAGAGGAGAUGUUGCUUAUUGGCCAAAUAUUAAAAUACACACAGACUGAGGUCUCUCCACGUGUGGGGCCUGGGUCAGAAUACAGAGAUAGACCGGCCUGCCCUGCUCGCGGCUCUGCACACCGAUGCGCGCACGCACACACACAGGUGCACGGCAGCGCCCUGUCCUGACCUCUGUAGCCUAUAUUUCUCCCUUCACCGUGUCUAUUACUGAUUUCUUCCUGUUUGUACAUUGAGAGCUUCUCCCGUCUUGCCACUGCUCAGGCCUGAAGACUAGGCGCCAUCUCUAAUUCCCGCUUUUCCCUGGCAUCCCACACCUGGCUCCUCAGGGCUCCCAUCUCCAACCGCCCACCCCUCCUGUGUCCACCACCAGCCCUUCCUCCAGACCCCUGCUUCUCAUCAGACGGUCACUGUCGUUCCCUGGCCAGGCUCCUGGCAUCCACUCCUGACCUCCUAGGAUGUGUGGUCUACACAGCAACUGGAACGAUCCUUUGGAUGUUGAAAUCUGAUCGUGUUGUUUCCCUGCCUUUCAAGGCCUUGAACUAAAGUCCAAGCGCUCCCUGUGACCGCCCGCGGCUCUCCGUUUCUCUGCACUCGCUCGCUCCACCCUCCUGCCCCUCUCCCUGGAGGGGCCCUCUCCAUCUCUCUGCAGCACUCACCCUUCAAACGACUCUUUUCUGCCCAAACGGCUCCCCAGAGAUGUCUUCCCUGACCUGCUACACAAAUGGUACCCGGCUCCUUAUUGUGCUUGACUUUCAUCAAAGCCUUUCUCUGAGGUCAUCAAUCCAUCUUGUCUAGCUGUCUUUCUUUCUUUCUUCCUUUUUCUUUUGCUGAGGAAGACUGCCCCUGAGCUAACAUCCGUGCCCAUCUUCCUCUGCUUUCUAUGUGAGGACGCCUACCACAGCAUGGCUUGCCAAGAGAUGCCAUGUCCACACCCGGGAUCCGAACCGGCGAACCCCGGGCUGCCGAAGCCGAGCGUGCACAAUUAACCACUGUGUCACCAGGCCGGCCCCUCUAGCUGUCUUUCUGUCUAUUGUCUGUCUAGCUAUUAUCUAACUAGCUAGCUAUCAUCUCUCUCUCUCUCUCUCUGUCUAUUAUCUGUCUAUCAUCUAGCUAUCUAUCAUCUGUUGUAUCUAUCAUUCUAGCUAUAGAUCAUCUAAUCUAUCCAUCUAUCUGUCUAUCUAUCAUCUUUCUCCCCAGCCAGAAUGUAAGCUCUUUGAGAGCAGAAAUUCCAUUCGUCUGGUUUGUGGGACUGCUACGUAGUGGAUACUCCCUAUCUGUUGAUGUACUGAUUUCUUGUUAGUGUCUACUGAGCACGCUCACGUGUGGGCACACUGUCUAUCCAGUCCUGCGUCGAUGGACUUCACGCUAGUCUUUCAUUAGCUAGUAACACUAGCUAGUUUAACUUCACUGCUAACAGCCCUGCCGUGGGUGUCCUCGUACAUGUGGCCUCCAGCACUUCUGUUGGAAUGUAAUGAACUUGUUAUGAAUUGGUAAAGAAUAAAAAGGUAACCCGUGUUCAUGUUUCUGACUGGCUAUUGUCCCGUCACGAUUUAGGAAAUGACCCGUCUUUCGCCCGUGGUGUUAGUAAGGGGUUGGACUGUGACUUAAAAACACAGGCUUCUCUUGUCCAGGUGACAGUCCAGGGGCGGUCCCAAGGCUGUGCACACUGCUCGCUCCACCCGGCGCUCUCCUCCCUCAGGCAGGGCGUGCGGCCCGGGAGGCUCCUGGGACCCUGAGCACCUGUGUCUCCUGACAUUGCCUCGCCUGGCCCAGCCCUGCCCCAGGUGUCGUCCUUUCCUGUGAGACCCCAGAUCACUGCCAUGCCUGUGCCAGGCCAGGGGAACCUGGAGAAAUGACUUGUUGGUAAGUCAGAGAUGACCCAGGGCCUGGAGAUGCACACCAGGCACGUGUGGGUAUUUGGGCACCUGAAAUACGGCUAGUGCGACUCAGCAACUGAGUUUUUAGUGAUGCUUAAUUUUAAUUAAUUUACGUUUACGUUUAAGUGACUGCAUGUGGGUCGUGGCUACUGCAUGGGACCACACAGGAGAAUUCACAUGCGGGAUUCUGCCUCCGUCUCCCUGGCCCAGACUCAAGUCACGUGCUGCGCCUGAGUGUGAGAGCGCCCGGCUGUUGUCUCCACGGGGACAGCAGGCGCCAGAUCUGCAAGCAGCCAGGAGGCUGCUGCUGGAAAGGGACGCCGGGCCCGGGGGUGGUCAGCAGUGGGGCCACGGCCGCGUGUUUCUGCCCACAUUUCUAUCUAUUUGUGUCUCCUCCUGGUCUCUCCAGGUGGCACACUUGUCGGUUUGUCACAUCGUACUGUUCUAAUUUCUGCAUCGUUAUAAUGUGUCUUAACUUCUGGUAGAGCCGCUUCUUCCCUUGUUUGCAUUCCUAGUUUUCAGAAUGUUUAAACUCAUAUUUUCAGAGUUUUCUUGGGUUUUCUCAUUUAUUUAGUUUUUCCACGACGAGCUAAGCAUCAGUGUCUCGUUCAGAAGGGAAACCUGUUGCUUUCACGUGGCUCCACAUUUUAUUUAGAACAGGGUUGGCGAGAACCGACUCCUCCGUGUCAGAGCUUCUGUCCCGCCCUGGGGCCUGGUGGCCUUUACUCAAGUCCGCGUCGGCCUCUGGCGCGGUUUUAGUUUCUCCGCACAGCCCUGUGUGGUCUUGCUCCUUUGCGCAUGUGCUUGUUGCUGUCACCUUUGUAAAGAGAACGCUCUUCCUUAUUUGUUCCCCCUCAAGCUGGUUUUUAUUUAUAUGUAGAAAGGAGGCUCCCUCAGCGCGUGGAUUGUCACCAGCCACCUUACGUGUUACAGUGGCUCUUCCACGACGUUGCAUUUCCUGGGCACGCGUGGCACCAGCUUCCCGCAGUGAUGGCUGUGUGUGCUUCUCUUCACUGUUGUCCUCUCUGUGUUCUUCUCUCACCGUAAAGCAACGUUUAGUAAUAGCAGAGAAUAAGGAGAAUGUUUCUGGUGUUUAACUAUCAAGCUUGAUACUUAUUUUUGGUUUAAGAUACGCUUUUUAUCUUAAGAAAAUAUCCACUUACUAACUGUUCUUAAAAUUUAAUCAGGAAUUGAUCUGAAUUUUUAAAAAUGCCAUUUUAGCUCCUCUGCAAAUAAUUAUGUGGUUUUUCUUCUUUGACUUAUUAAUGUGGUGAAUUAUGUGAAUAGAUGUCCUAAUUUGAAGUAUUCUUGCAUUCCUUAGGGAUAAAUCCUGCUUGGCCAUGGUUCAUUAUUAUUUCAAUCAGCUUUAGAAUUAAAUUUGCUAAUAUUUUACUGAGGCUGUUUGCCACAAGUUUCAUCUACAAGAUUGCUCGUUUUGUGCUAUUUUUUUCAGUCAGUCCUUUUGUGCACAGGUCUCACCGUGCACGGUGACGUGCCCCCGCGGGAUGUCGACUUCUGCAGGGGCCAGGCCCUGGUGCCUGCUGGGACAUCGUCCUCUCACCAGCCUCGUGUGCACUGGGUGGCUUUUCACUGGUUGGAACUCUUGGUUUUACGCUUUCAAAGCUGUGUGUUUUUCUUUUGGCGAACAGAGAGCGGGACGCACUGCUGGGGGUUGGAUGCUCCGUCUAGACGGAAGCUCUGCGGCGCCUUCCUUCACGGCCUGCCUCUCCUCUGCUCCUCCUUCUGUGAGAUGGAGACGUCAUCGCCUCCUCAUGAGGCUGUGGGAUUAAAUGUAUUACUCAUAUGCAGACUUCUAAGAACGGCGCCAGGCACACAGUAAACACUAUUAUGAGUGUUUGCUAUUGUUAGGGUUAAUGCUGUUAUUCAUUAGCGCCAGAGAAUGCCAGGUUUAACUGGAGGAAGCCGUUCCUGGCUCGAUGCCUCCCAACGUCAGAGCUGGAGCUGGAGCUUGUGGGAAGGAGGCCCCGCUGGAGACAGGAGCUCGGAGACCUGGCCUGGGGGUGGGAAAGUCUCAGGGGCCACUGUGCUGGCCUGCAGGCUCAGAACCAUGCUCGCUUUUUUUUUUUUUUUUUGAGGAAGAUUAGCCCUGAGCUAACUACUGCCAAUCCUCCUCUUUUUGCUGAGGAAGACUGGCCCUGAGCUAACAUCUGUGCCCAUCUUCCUCUACUUUAUACGUGGGUCGCCUACCACAGCAUGGCUUUUGCCAAGUGGUGCCAUGUCCUCACCCGGGAUCCGAACUGGUGAACUCUGGGCCACUGAGAAGUGGAACCGUGUGCACUUAACUGCUGUGCCACCAGGCCGGCCUGGAGCCGUGCUCUCUUGCUGGCUGAAGCCCUCUCUCUUGUCCGCCGCCAGGGGCUGUCAUCUGCCUUGCUAGCCUGGGUGCAAGUGCAGGUGAGCGGGCCCUGCUGCUCGAUGCAGCGGUUGCCAUGGCAGAGCUGCUGUUUCCAAGCAAGGGUAGGAUUAACCUGGCAUCUAACUCCUUGGUCAGUGGAUUUAGUCCCGUCCUGUGUACUCAUCAAGGGCUUUGCUCUGUCAGAUGGAGUCUCGGAGCCUCGAGCAUGAAGGGAUGUCCCAACCAAUAAACUGCUGCCCCUCCAAGAGUCGAGGUGCAGGCCACAGACGUCCCCCAGAAUCGCCCCUGCACAGCCACACGAGGGAAGGUCAAAUCUGUCCAGAGGGAAGCCUCCUCCCCAUCACAGGACACUCGGCAGGAGUUGAAGCGGGUGGUGAGAGCUUGGUCACAGAGCACCUGGCUUGGAACCCUGGCCACGUGGCCCAUGUUCGACUCUGCCUUACAGACUCAUAUGGUCACCCGGUGGAUGGAUAAGGUGAGUAGAUGUCUGGAGUCUGGGGGACGUGAUGUGUGUGCCCAACGAGGGAGGGUCCUCCCAUCUGAGUGGCCUGUAGAGACGGUUCCUGAAAAAGGAGUGGGUGAGACGUUCACAGAGGGGCCUGAGGGACAGAGACAGGACAGGGAGCAGACACCACCCUAUUCGCUCCUGGAGCCAAUGAUGAUAGGAAUGUGGAGGCAAGAAAUGACCCAAGGGGUCAGUGGAAUCUCACCACGAGUGAAGUGGGUGUCAGGCCAGAUGAGUGCGGCCAACGCCAGGCCGGGGUUCAGGUGGAGGGCGGGGCAUGGGGCUGAGGCCCGAGGAUCCUGAGUGGAUCCGCGAGGAAAGGCAAACUAGUAAGAAAAGAGCAAAAGACACAGUCCUUGGCUAUUGUUGUAUAUAAUAGCUCAAAUGAAAGUAAGAGAUGGGCCAAGCUCCUCUGUGACCAGUGGGAACCACAGCCUCCCGUCUCACAGCCCCACUGAAGGAUGUGUUGGGGAUCCCGAUUCUGGCCCGACCAAAAUGGCAGCCUCGGGUCUCAGAGCCAUUUCCAAAGGAAAACGGUGUGUCAGAGCAGCAGAGGACCACGAAGCCUGGACUGCGGGCCCAAGUAAUGGGGACAGAUGGAGGGCAGCAUCCUGGGACUUGUGCCAGCGGAGUGGGAAUCCUAACUAGUUACUAAGAAAUGGGGCAAUAAUUGAGCAUCAGAACAAAGGUCCUUGUGCAGCACUCCCAGAGGCUGAGGGGACCAAGGGCAUCCCUCCUGCCCCUCGACAUCUGAGGCCCGCAGCCCCUCUGCUGGUGUCACUCUAGCUUGGGGGAAUUUGGAAAGGUUUGAGCCAAAGUUGGCAACAGGACUUGCCCUGCAUUCGCCGGGGUGAUGGUCCCACAAUCAAAUCAAGAGAAAGAUUGACAGCGGGGGCCAGUGUCCCUUGGCUGGUCCCUGCUGGGGACACAAAGCUGUGUGCAUGUGAGUAUGAAAUGUCAGAGGUGGGGGCCGACCCGUGGCCAAGUGCUUAAGUCCAUGUGCUCUUCUUGGGCGGCCCAGGGUUUUGCCAAGCUCUGAUCCUGGGCACGGACAUAGCACCACUCAUCAUCAGGCCAUGCUGGGGUGGCGUCCCACGUAGCAGAACCAGAAGGACCUACAACUAGAAUAUACAACCGUGUACUGGGGGGCUUUGGGGAAAAAGAAAAUAAAAGAGGAAGGUUGGCCACGGCUGUUAGCUCAGGGCCCAUCUCUUAAAAAAAAAAAAUAAAUGUCAGGAGUGGAGAGUUUCUGGGACUCUGAGACACGGAGCCCUGUGACCUGUGGAACCAAACCUACUGGUGGGGUCCCAGCAGAGGCCACCAUCACACGGAGAGGCCACAGGAACGCACGGGUCCUAAGGCGGAAGUCUGGAUGAAAACUGGAACGUUUCACCAGGCUUUCUGUGAAGAAGUUGCGUCUCCCUCUCUGACUGUUUUCUGGGAUGUUGUCUGUCUGGGGACACUGCCCCUGCCUGUUAUUGUAAAACCAAAGCCUGAGGGUGAAGCCCUGAAGGGUGGGCCACAGGGGCCGCUGGGGGAAGGUGGAAGUUUGGACAAACCCGGCGUGUCUGCACGGGCUGCGUGUGGAGUGGCUGGGUCGCUUUGGCUCGGUUGUGUGGUGGCCGGAUAUUUCCUCUCCUGAGCUUCGUGAAGCGGAAGGCAGCGGCAUCUGUCCUUCAGGCCACAUUGAUUGGACACGUCGAUGGGAACCGGGAAGACUGCCGGAGCCCUCGGAGCUGGAGCGUUGGUGUGGACGAAUUCUGCACAGCCACAGCCUGUGUGGGGCUGAGCCGGGGCUUACGACAGAAGCCUGAGCGCCACCCAGCGACAUCCAGUGGGACUUGGACUGAAGGCUUCCAUGGGAGGGGCAACGACCAGCUUGCUAUCUGACGUUAACUGAAACGGCCCUUAUGACCGAAGGACGACAUAAAAUCAUCCUGAAAUCUGACGCAGCCGCGACGUCUUGGGUCAUGUCAGAGAAACGCUCCGGUAGAGGUCAGUGCCCAGGAGAGCUCCACACUAGAGCGGAAAGGGUGUGUAGAGGAUGGCGCCCCGGUGGGCGGGUGGGGGAUGCAGAGAGAUACUUGGCACCUUCAGAAGCAGGUCGGGAAGCUCCCAGACUCGGAAAGUGGGGUGGUGGCUGCCAAGGCUGGGGAAGGAGAAACGGGGAGUUGUUGCUUCACGGGUGUGAAAAGGUUCUGGAGAGCUGUUUCAUGACAUAAACACAAGUAUACUUACUACUGAAAUGUUCACACAAAGUGGUGAAGAUGGUAAAUUUUGUGUUUGGAGUAUUUUACCACAAUUAAAAGAGCAAAAGAUCUGUAUAGACAUUUCUCCAAGGAAGAUACCCAAACGGUCAAGAAGCACACGAAAAGAUGCUCAACGUGGUUAGUCAUCAGGGAAAUGCAGAUCAGAACCACAGCGAGAGCCCUUCCCAGCCCCUGGGCGCGGUAUAGAGAGGGCUGACAGCAAGCGAUGGGAGGGGGCCCGAGCCUUCACACUGCUGCUGGAGCGUAAGAUGGGGCAGCCGCCUUGUAAAGCCGGCUCAGAGUGUCUGUAGAAAGUUAGUGCAGACGCACCACGUGGUCCAGCAAUUCCACUUACAUAUACGCCCAGGAGAACUGAAAACAUACGUCUAUGGAAAAACUUGUGCACGAAUGUUCAUGGCAGGAUUAUUCGUAAGAACCAGACAGUGGAAACAGCCCAGGUGCCCAUCAGCCAGUGAACGGAUAAGCAGAAUGCGGUCUACACGUACCUUAGAAUAUUAUUCCACUAUGAAACGGGUGGAAAUUCAAGGUGGAUGAACCUCAGCAAAAGGAGCUGGUCCCACAAGACCAUGUAUUGUAUGAUUCGGUUUAUAUGAAAAUGUUUAGAACGGGACCUCUGCAGAGGCGGAGAUAAAGUGGGUUGUUAGGACUUGGGGGCGGGGGAAAGACUAUGGGAAACGGGGAGUGAGUGCCCGCGGAUGCAAGCUUUCUUCUUGGGGUGACAAAUGGUCUAAAAUUAGAUUGUGGGGCUCUGAGAAUACACUAAAAACCAAUGAUUCGGACACUGGAAUGGGUGAAUCAUAUGGUAUGUGAAUUAUAUCUCAAUAAAGCUGCUAAAAAAUAAAACCAAACUAAAAAACACCCCAGAGACAUCAUUACCAUACAUCUGCUCUGCUGGAGAUGGAGGGGAUGAGACCGCUGAGCUCUCCAUCUGCAAGACUGACGGCCCACGGGAGGCGGCGUCACCCAGGAAGAAGCAAGGGAGGCCGCCGGGGCUGCUGUGUUGAAUGUCAUAGAGGAAGGGCUCGGGUGUGAGGUGGAGGUCUGGGCGGUGGCUUCCUUACACAGUUAUUCCGGGCGGGGUCCCCAGAAGAGCAGUUUUCAGCUGAUCAGAAUGGGGACAGGAGCCAGCCUGGCAGGAGUGUUUUCUGGGCUUCCAGGAGUUCCCGAAAGGCUGCGUGAGCUGCUCCGUGUUCUGGAAACAGGGGUGGGGGAUCCUGGAGGGCCGGUGGUCUGACUCAGAUGACUAUCAAGGCCGUCCUGAGGACAAGACCCUGGGGACAGAGAUCUAUCUCAUUGUCAUGCUGAUGCGGUAUACAUUGUUUAUAAUCAUUCCUUCUUGAUAAUUCCUUAAUUGAUUUUUAAACCAUGUUUUUGAGCUUAAAAAAGAUUAUCACAAGAUGUGAAGUUCCCCCUUUAUUCUCGUGAACUGGGUGAGAGAAGGUGCAGAAGAGCCUGGACAGUGGGGCGUGAGCCCCCGCAGGGCCUGCAGCAGCCGCCCCAUCUCCUUGCCGUGGACUGGGCCCUCCUGAGCUCGGCCUGGAGGGGGUGGGGGCUGGAAUGCACGGGGGUCUCUGCACUCUUUUACACCUGCUUCAACACCUGCUUUUCCUUUGCCCUUUUGAGGCUCCUGUCAGAUCUCACUGAAGCUCCAGGAGUGCCCCCGGUCCCCCUGGGAGGAUGCUGUCCCACUCCGGUCUCCUUGGAUGGGAGGGACCCCCCCAGCACUGGGAAAAGAGGUGGAGCUCUAGUCUCCGUAGGACUGUGGGGCGGCCUCUGCUCCCUCCUUGACCUUGUGGGCACAGGAACCCGAGCCCCAGAGCCUCCUCAGGCCACCCUGCCACACCCCCGCCAGGAUGUCUCCAGGGACCACCUGCUCUUGACUUGCAAGUGCUGCAGCAAAGAGGGAUCAGCGGUCCUCCACGUGGUGGGGAAGCCAGCUGCCAUGUCAUCAGCCACCCUGUGGAGAAGGCUACAUGAUGAGGCCUCUGGUCAAGAGCCAUGAGAAUGAGCUUGGAAGUGGCUAGUCCUUAGAACUAGAUCUUCCAGCCUCGGUCCAGCUUCAGACGACUGCAGCCCUGGCUGACUGCUUGACUGAAAGCUCGUGAGAGAUCCUGAGCCAGAAAGACCCAGCUGAGUCGCUCCAAGAUUUCUGACUUUCAGAAGCUUUGUGAGUUAAUAAAUGUUUGCUGCUUUCAGCUGCGAAGUUUUGGGGAAUUUCUCAUGCAGUGAUAGAUGACUGACACAUUCCUCGAGUAGAGGAGCACGUGAGUGUGUUCACAGGAUCAACCCAGAGCUGUUCACACGGAGGACGCUCAAUUCAACCAAGACGUGAAAAACAGAAGUCAACGUGAAGGAAGGAAUGGCUGGAAAGCAGAAUGGGCACACGCACACUAACGAUUCAUUCCCGGCUGAGGCUGCCGGUCCUGCACAAAUGCCCAGAAUGACACCAGAAGUGACAUUUCACCAACUUUCAUGCCCGCUAGCAAAUGUGCUUCCAGGUAUGACAAGCCGAGCUGUUUCCCGUGGGCUCCGCCUGGCACCUCUCCUUAUGCAUGCAGUUCCGAGAGGGACCCUCUGGCUGUCACAGCCUUUCAGAACAAAAGAUGACCUCGGAAGCCCAAGAGUGAAAAGGCAUCAUCUCACCACUAAGAGGAGAUUCAUUAUAUCUUUCAGUGUAACCGCCAUCCACGACUUCCUGUCUCCGUGCCUGGUUUUCUUGUCCCAUCUUUCGUCACAUCCUAGUCACUGCCCUGGUGUAUUAUGGGAGAUUAUAUGUAGAUAUGUGUUACAGGGUCUUGACCCUGUGCAGUUGUAGGAGCUGGCUAAGCAAUUGUCUUUAGGAUGAUGCUGGAGCCCGUGGUCCACAGGGAGGCAGCUGGAAGGGACGGCGGAUUGAUGUGGAGGGCAGCUGGCAGGAGCUGGAACCUGCAGGCACAGCUGGAGCCCAUGAGAGCAGCCUGAAACGCACGCCCAUUCUUGUUGCCUCAGACCUAGGGGUGUGCCAGUCCUGCAGAAGCCAGAGCCUGUCUUUCAUCAGCGAGCUAAACACGCACCUCAGGCCCAGAAGUCAGGGAAACUGGAGGGAGUCAGGGGAAUGUGUGCAAUAGCCGGCCUGGAACAGCCUCCCCGCAGUGAGAAAACAGCUGGAUUCUCGUAUCACUGCAUUCAAUCUGUCGUGAUGCCACUCUUUGUGUAACCUCUGGAAAAUUCCGUCGUAGACUCAAGAGAGAGUGAGAGUGAAGAAGACAACAGCGUCUUAGUGUUUUCAUGAAAAUCGCUUUGACUUCACGACCCCCUUGAAAGGACGUUGGAGACCCCCAGGGGUGGCUGGACCACACAUUGAGUACUUCGAAUACUGGAGAAAAAUGCUUAGUCUUCUAAUUUUGAUGAAGUACUGGGGAAAAACACAUAAAUUGGAAGUUGUAGUUCUUAGCCUCUGAGAGAAGCUCUACAGAGCCUGUGGUUAUCCACGUGGGAAGCCCCAGGGCGAUUCUCUGAAUGGUAUGCCAACGAGAAAAGAGAAAAGAAGUGGAAAGAGAGAGGAGAAGGGGCAGGAGGAAAGGACAGAGCGACGGCUCCCGGAGUUUGUCUUCGCAGACACUCACUGUCACUUUGCCGAGACAGAAACAGGCUCUGGAGCCAUUUGUGUGUCCUCAGAAGAGGCCGCCUUCCUAGCCGGCUCACUGGGCUCUGGGACCAGUUUCCACACAUUCCCGGAGGUCACACAUGGUGGUCGCAGAAGUCCCUGAUGGGGGAAGUGGCCUCGCUGUGGAUAUUUACACAUUUUCAACGCUCCUGGCCCAUCCCUGCUGUGUUUUCCAAGAGGGUGUAAAACCAAAUUAUUGCGCCAUUUGCCUGUUUGUCACUGAGGUUUUCAUGCUCAAAAUAUUUUUCCAGUCUUUUUCAAGUGCUAUUUCUUUUUAUAUUAUAAGGCAAAACUCUUCUCCCAGAAAAUAUGAACAUAUUUAUCAAGAAGCUAACUACUGCUCAAAAUGAUAAUGUAAAUUCUUGUAAUACCCUUUUUAUAAAUCAAAACUUUUAUUUGGAGUAAAAAUCCUUUAAAACAUCAACAUCUUUUCACCAAGCCCUGGUCGCUAGCCCAGUUUUCAGAAGUAUUUUGGAAAAGUACCAGCUUGUGAUACCAACCAUGCAGACAGUGUUUGCACACGGCCACAUUUUUAGAGUCAUUACCCUGUCACUGAACCUUUAUGGAAUGAAGAUAAUGUCAUGGUCAACGUUUUCCUUAAAGGAAACUUUUUAAAUGCAACAUGAUUCUCUUAUAAAUUAUUAUUAAAAUUAUAAAC
rnacentral:lncRNA from 1 species